GACGAACGCUGGCGGCGUGCCUAAUACAUGCAAGUUGAGCGACGAACCAGGGCUUGCCCUGGGGCAAAGCAGCGAACGGGUGAGUAACACGUGGGUAACCUACCCCGAUAACCGGGACAACCCGAGGAAACUCGGGCUAAUACCUGAUGUGCUCACUGGACUUCGGUUUAGUGCGUAAAUGAAGCUCCGGCCUCCGUAUCGGGAGGGGCCCGCGGCCCAUUAGUUUGUUGGUGAGGUAACGGCUCACCAAGACCGCGAUGGGUAGCUGGUCUGAGAGGACGAUCAGCCACACUGGGACUGAGACACGGCCCAGACUCCUACGGGAGGCAGCAGUGGGGAAUCUUGCGCAAUGCGCGAAAGCGUGACGCAGCAACGCCGCGUGGGGGAAGAAGGCCUUCGGAUUGUAAACCCCUUUCAGGAGGGACGAAGAUUCGGCGGUGAAUAGCCGUCCGGACUGACGGUACCUCCACAAGAAGCCCCGGCUAACUACGUG
rnacentral:rRNA from 1 species